GGGGUCCCGCGACUUCCAUUAAUGAAUUCGCACACUGGCCGUCACCACUCAACACGCCGACGAUCUUAUGCAUUGCACAAAGUGAGAAUACUUGGUUGCAAGUGACCGAAAUUCAACUCCUCCAAAAAGGAUUUAUUGGUUCAUGUAAUUGCGAAGUGCAAGAGUGCAUCUUAAGGCAAGACUGCAUCUGGAGACUCAAAUACUGCUGUCAAG
rnacentral:lncRNA from 1 species